rnacentral:rRNA from 1 species
AUUGAACGUUGGCGGCAGGCCUAAUACAUGCAAGUCGAACGAGAAAGUACCUUCGGGUGCGAGUAAAGUGGCGGACGGGUGAGUAACGCGUAGGAAUCUACCUUGUAGUGGGGGACAACUCGGGGAAACUCGAGCUAAUACCGCAUAAUACCUAAGGGUGAAAGUGGGGGAUCUUCGGACCUCACGCUAUUAGAGGAGCCUGCGUUAGAUUAGCUUGUUGGUGGGGUAAUGGCCUACCAAGGCGACGAUCUAUAGCUGGUCUGAGAGGACGAUCAGCCACACUGGAACUGAGACACGGUCCAGACUCCUACGGGAGGCAGCAGUAGGGAAUCUUGGGCAAUGGGCGAAAGCCUGACCCAGCCAUGCCGCGUGUGUGAAGAAGGCCUUAGGGUUGUAAAGCACUUUCAGUCGUGAAGAAAUGCUUGAGGUUAAUAGCCUCGAGUCUUGACGUUAACGACAGAAGAAGUACCGGCUAACUCCG